rnacentral:rRNA from 1 species
GAUGAACGCUGGCGGCGUGCUUAACACAUGCAAGUCGAACGGGAAACCUUUUAUUGAAGCUUCGGCAGAUUUAGCUGGUUUCUAGUGGCGGACGGGUGAGUAACGCGUGGGUAACCUGCCUUAUACAGGGGGAUAACAGUCAGAAAUGGCUGCUAAUACCGCAUAAGCGCACAGAGCUGCAUGGCUCAGUGUGAAAAACUCCGGUGGUAUAAGAUGGACCCGCGUUGGAUUAGCUGGUUGGUGGGGUAACGGCCCACCAAGGCGACGAUCCAUAGCCGGCCUGAGAGGGUGAACGGCCACAUUGGGACUGAGACACGGCCCAGACUCCUACGGGAGGCAGCAGUGGGGAAUAUUGCACAAUGGGGGAAACCCUGAUGCAGCGACGCCGCGUGAAGGAAGAAGUAUCUCGGUAUGUAAACUUCUAUCGGCAGGGAAGAUAAUGACGGUACCUGACUAAGAAGCCCCGGCUAACUACGUG